rnacentral:rRNA from 1 species
CCUACUGGUGGCAGCAGUAGGGAAUCUUUCACAAUGGGCGAAAGCCUGAUGGAGCAACGCCGCGUGCAGGAUGAAGUCCUUCGGUUUGUAAACUGCUUUUAUAAGCGAGAAAUAUGAUGGUAACUUAUGAAUAAGGAUCGGCUAACUACGUGCCAGCAGCCGCGGUCAUACGUAGGAUCCGAGCAUUAUCCGGAGUGACUGGGUGUAAAGAGUUGCGUAGGUUGCAACAUAAGUAGCUAGUUAAAUCUGUUGGGUCAACCAAUGAGACUAUUAUGUAAACUGUGAAGCCCGAGACCGUUAGGGGUAAGUGGAAUUUCUAGUGUAGGAGUGAAAUCCGUAGAUAUUAGAAGGAACACCAAUAGCGUAGGCAGGUUGCUGGGACGGUUCUGACACUAAGGCACGAAAGCGUAGGGAGCAAACGGGAUUAGAUACCCCUGUAGUC